rnacentral:rRNA from 1 species
CUCCUACGGGAGGCAGCAGUGGGGAAUAUUGCACAAUGGGCGCAAGCCUGAUGCAGCCAUGCCGCGUGUAUGAAGAAGGCCUUCGGGUUGUAAAGUACUUUCAGCGGGGAGGAAGGCGAUGCGGUUAAUAACCGCGUCGAUUGACGUUACCCGCAGAAGAAGCACCGGCUAACUCCGUGCCAGCAGCCGCGGUAAUACGGAGGGUGCA